UACGUAGGGUGCAAGCGUUGUCCGGAAUUAUUGGGCGUAAAGGGCUCGUAGGCGGUUUGUCGCGUCGGGAGUGAAAACCAGGUGCUUAACACCUGGCUUGCUUUCGAUACGGGCAGACUAGAGGUAUUCAGGGGAGAACGGAAUUCCUGGUGUAGCGGUGAAAUGCGCAGAAUAUCAGGAGGAACACCGGUGGCGAAGGCGGGACUCUGGGCCGAUACUGACGCUGGAGGAGCGAAAGCGUGGGGAGCAAACAGGA
rnacentral:rRNA from 1 species